GGGGCUCAGUGGUAAGGUAUCUGCUUGGCAUGAAGAAGGUGCCAGGUUCAAUCCUUGGCAUCUCCA
rnacentral:tRNA from 1 species